rfam:Rattus norvegicus chromosome 9, whole genome shotgun sequence.
GGGGAUUUAGCUCAGUGGUAGAGCGCUUGCCUAGCAAGCGCAAGGCCCUGGGUUCGGUCCCCAGCCCCG